rnacentral:rRNA from 1 species
CCUACGGGAGGCAGCAGUGGGGAAUAUUGGACAAUGGGGGCAACCCUGAUCCAGCAAUGCCGCGUGUGUGAAGAAGGCCUGAGGGUUGUAAAGCACUUUCAGUGGGGAGGAGGAUACUUAGGUUAAGAGCUAGAGUAUUGGACGUUACCCACAGAAGAAGCACCGGCUAACUCCGUGCCAGCAGCCGCGGUAAUACGGAGGGUGCGAGCGUUAAUCGGAAUUACUGGGCGUAAAGGGUGCGUAGGUGGUUGAUUAAGUUAUCUGUGAAAUCCCCGGGCUCAACCUGGGCAGGUCAGAUAAUACUGAUUGACUCGAGUAUAGGAGAGGGUAGUGGAAUUUCCGGUGUAGCGGUGAAAUGCGUAGAGAUCGGAAGGAACACCAGUGGCGAAGGCGGCUACCUGGCCUAAUACUGACACUGAGGCACGAAAGCGUGGGGAGCAAACAGGAUUAGAUACCCUGGUAGUCCACGCUGUAAACCGAUGUCAACUAGCUGUUGGUUAUAUGAAUAUAAUUAGUGGCGCAGCAAACGCGAUAAGUUGACCGCCUGGGGAAUCGGUGCAAGNUUAAAACCUUAGAAGUAGUCGGCGNGNGAGAGCGACGACGACGACGAGGAGGGAGG